AUGGGCGUCGCCAAGGCAAUGGCGCCUGUGGCGCUCGGCCUCCUAGUUGCGGUGCUCCUCGUCGGGACGGCGGGCACGAGCCUUCUCGCCGGCUGCGCAGGACCACAGAGGAUGGAGCUCCAGGAGCACGAGGUCUGGGUGCGCUACCUCCUCGUCCGCAUCGCCCCCGUGGCCGCCGGGAUAUUCUUCUGGGCCGGCAUGGCGGACGACGACCUGACAGCCACCGCGUGGGAGCUGCGCGUGCUGUGCGUCGUCGGCCUCAACCUCUCCUUCGCCUCGUCGCUCCUCGCCCUCGCCGCCCUGACCACGGAGUUCUCAUGCGACUGCGUCGUCCACUGGCUAGCGAUGAUCGUGGCGCUCGUCGCCGCGCAUCUCGUCGCCGGAGUGCGUUUCGUUGAGUUUAGGAAGAAGAAGAAGAAGAAGAAGAAGAAGAAGAAGAAGAAGAAGAAGAAGAAGAAGAAGAAGAAGAAGAAGAAGAAGAAGAAGUUGUACCACCGGCCGGUUGCUCUCUUAAUCCCAGUGUUGGAUAAGGAGGAU
rnacentral:rRNA from 1 species